rnacentral:rRNA from 1 species
UCGACGAGUUUGAUCCUGGCUCAGAUUGAACGCUGGCGGCAUGCUUUACACAUGCAAGUCGAACGGUAACAGGGACUUCGGUCUGCUGACGAGUGGCGAACGGGUGAGUAACAUAUCGGAACGUGCCCAGUAAUCGGGGGAUAGCUCGGCGAAAGCCCGGAUUAAUACCGCAUACGCCCUGAGGGGGAAAGUGGGGGAUCUUCGGACCUCACGUUAUUGGAGCGGCCGAUAUCGGAUUAGCUAGUUGGUGGGGUAAAGGCCUACCAAGGCGACGAUCCGUAGCUGGUCUGAGAGGAUGAUCAGCCACACUGGGACUGAGACACGGCCCAGACUCCUACGGGAGGCAGCAGUGGGGAAUUUUGGACAAUGGGCGAAAGCCUGAUCCAGCCAUGCCGCGUGAGUGAAGAAGGCCUUCGGGUUGUAAAGCUCUUUCAGGUGGAAAGAAACGCGGAUGGGCUAAUACCCUGUUCGGAUGACGGUACCACCAGAAGAAGCACCGGCUAACUACGUG